rnacentral:rRNA from 1 species
CGGAUGAACGCUGGCGGCGUGCUUAACACAUGCAAGUCGAACGGUGACGAGGAGCUUGCUCCUCUGAUCAGUGGCGAACGGGUGAGUAACACGUGAGCAACCUGCCCCAGACUCUGGGAUAACAGUUGGAAACAGCUGCUAAUACCGGAUACGAGACGGAGAGGCAUCUCUACCGUCUGGAAAGUUUUUCGGUCUGGGAUGGACUCGCGGCCUAUCAGCUAGUUGGUGAGGUAAUGGCUCACCAAGGCGACGACGGGUAGCCGGCCUGAGAGGGCGACCGGCCACACUGGGACUGAGACACGGCCCAGACUCCUACGGGAGGCAGCAGUGGGGAAUAUUGCACAAUGGGCGAAAGCCUGAUGCAGCGACGCCGCGUGAGGGAUGACGGCCUUCGGGUUGUAAACCUCUUUCAGCAGGGAAGAAGCGAAAGUGACGGUACCUGCAGAAGAAGCACCGGCUAACUACGUG